UUGCAAUUGACAGCACAGGACUGAAG
rnacentral:piRNA from 1 species